UCGGGAAUUUUGGGCAAUGGGCGAAAGCCUGACCCAGCAACGCCGCGUGAGGGAUGAAGUAUUUCGGUAUGUAAACCUCGAAAGAAUGGGAAGAAUAAAUGACGGUACCAUUUAUAAGCUCCGGCUAACUACGUGCCAGCAGCCGCGGUAAUACGUAGGGAGCAAGCGUUGUUCGGAAUUACUGGGCGUAAAGCGUGCGUAGGUGGUUGUUUAAGUCUGAUGUGAAAGCCCUGGGCUCAACCUGGGAAUGGCAUUGGAAACUGGGCAGCUAGAGUGCGGUAGAGGGUAGUGGAAUUCCCGGUGUAGCAGUGAAAUGCGUAGAGAUCGGGAGGAACAUCUGUGGCGAAGGCGACUGCCUGGACCAGCACUGACACGGAGGCACGAAAGCGUGGGGAGCAAACA
rnacentral:rRNA from 1 species